rnacentral:rRNA from 1 species
GACGAACGCUGGCGGCGUGCCUAAUACAUGCAAGUCGAGCGAAUGACGAGGAGCUUGCUCCUCUGAUUUAGCGGCGGACGGGUGAGUAACACGUGGGCAACCUGCCCUGCAGACUGGGAUAACUUCGGGAAACCGGAGCUAAUACCGGAUAAUCCAUUUUACUUCAUGGUGAAAUGUUGAAAGGCGCUUUCGCGCCACUGCAGGAUGGGCCCGCGGUGCAUUAGCUAGUUGGUGGGGUAACGGCCUACCAAGGCGACGAUGCAUAGCCGACCUGAGAGGGUGAUCGGCCACAUUGGGACUGAGACACGGCCCAAACUCCUACGGGAGGCAGCAGUAGGGAAUCUUCCACAAUGGACGAAAGUCUGAUGGAGCAACGCCGCGUGAGUGAUGAAGGUUUUCGGAUCGUAAAACUCUGUUGUAAGGGAAGAACAAGUACGUUAGGAAAUGAACGUACCUUGACGGUACCUUAUUAGAAAGCCACGGCUAACUACGUGCCAGCCGCCGCCGUAACAC